rnacentral:rRNA from 2 species
CGUGUGGCGGGCGGCCUUAUACAUGCAAGUCGAGCGAACAGAUGAGAAGCUUGCUUCUCUGAUGUUAGCGGCGGACGGGUGAGUAACACGUGGGUAACCUACCUAUAAGACUGGGAUAACUCCGGGAAACCGGGGCUAAUACCGGAUAAUAUUUUGAACCGCAUGGUUCAAUAGUGAAAGACGGUUUCGGCUGUCACUUAUAGAUGGACCCGCGCCGUAUUAGCUAGUUGGUAAGGUAACGGCUUACCAAGGCGACGAUACGUAGCCGACCUGAGAGGGUGAUCGGCCACACUGGAACUGAGACACGGUCCAGACUCCUACGGGAGGCAGCAGUAGGGAAUCUUCCGCAAUGGGCGAAAGCCUGACGGAGCAACGCCGCGUGAGUGAUGAAGGUCUUCGGAUCGUAAAACUCUGUUGUUAGGGAAGAACAAAUUUGUUAGUAACUGAACAAGUCUUGACGGUACCUAACCAGAAAGCCACGGCUAACUACGUGCCAGCAGCCACGGUAAUACGUAGGUGGCAAGCGUUAUCCGGAAUUAUUGGGCGUAAAGCGCGCGUAGGCGGUUUCUUAAGUCUGAUGUGAAAGCCCACGGCUCAACCGUGGAAGGGUCAUUGGAAAACUGGUAAAAUUUGAUUGCAGAA